rnacentral:rRNA from 1 species
UACGUAGGGUGCGAGCGUUGUCCGGAAUUAUUGGGCGUAAAGAGCUUGUAGGCGGUUUGUCGCGUCUGCUGUGAAAUUUCGGGGCUCAACCCCGAACUUGCAGUGGGUACGGGCAGACUAGAGUGUGGUAGGGGAGACUGGAAUUCCUGGUGUAGCGGUGAAAUGCGCAGAUAUCAGGAGGAACACCGGAUGGCGAAGGCAGGUCUCUGGGCCAGCUACUGACGCUGAGAAGCGAAAGCAUGGGGAGCGAACAGG